UUAAGCGACUAAGCGUACACGGUGGAUGCCCUGGCAGUCAGAGGCGAUGAAGGACGUGCUAAUCUGCGAUAAGCGUCGGUGAGGUGAUAUGAACCGUUAUAACCGGCGAUUUCCGAAUGGGGAAACCCAGUGUGUUUCGACACACUAUCAUUAACUGAAUCCAUAGGUUAAUGAGGCGAACCGGGGGAACUGAAACAUCUAAGUACCCCGAGGAAAAGAAAUCAACCGAGAUUCCCCCAGUAGCGGCGAGCGAACGGGGAGGAGCCCAGAGCCUGAAUCAGUGUGUGUGUUAGUGGAAGCGUCUGGAAAGGCGUGCGAUACAGGGUGACAGCCCCGUACACAAAAAUGCACAUAUUGUGAGCUCGAUGAGUAGGGCGGGACACGUGGUAUCCUGUCUGAAUAUGGGGGGACCAUCCUCCAAGGCUAAAUACUCCUGACUGACCGAUAGUGAACCAGUACCGUGAGGGAAAGGCGAAAAGAACCCCGGCGAGGGGAGUGAAAAAGAACCUGAAACCGUGUACGUACAAGCAGUGGGAGCCUCUUAAUGGGGUGACUGCGUACCUUUUGUAUAAUGGGUCAGCGACUUAUAUUCUGUAGCAAGGUUAACCGAAUAGGGGAGCCGAAGGGAAACCGAGUCUUAACUGGGCGUUAAGUUGCAGGGUAUAGACCCGAAACCCGGUGAUCUAGCCAUGGGCAGGUUGAAGGUUGGGUAACACUAACUGGAGGACCGAACCGACUAAUGUUGAAAAAUUAGCGGAUGACUUGUGGCUGGGGGUGAAAGGCCAAUCAAACCGGGAGAUAGCUGGUUCUCCCCGAAAGCUAUUUAGGUAGCGCCUCGUGAAUUCAUCUCCGGGGGUAGAGCACUGUUUCGGCAAGGGGGUCAUCCCGACUUACCAACCCGAUGCAAACUGCGAAUACCGGAGAAUGUUAUCACGGGAGACACACGGCGGGUGCUAACGUCCGUCGUGAAGAGGGAAACAACCCAGACCGCCAGCUAAGGUCCCAAAGUCAUGGUUAAGUGGGAAACGAUGUGGGAAGGCCCAGACAGCCAGGAUGUUGGCUUAGAAGCAGCCAUCAUUUAAAGAAAGCGUAAUAGCUCACUGGUCGAGUCGGCCUGCGCGGAAGAUGUAACGGGGCUAAACCAUGCACCGAAGCUGCGGCAGCGACACUAUGUGUUGUUGGGUAGGGGAGCGUUCUGUAAGCCUGUGAAGGUGGCCUGUGAGGGUUGCUGGAGGUAUCAGAAGUGCGAAUGCUGACAUAAGUAACGAUAAAGCGGGUGAAAAGCCCGCUCGCCGGAAGACCAAGGGUUCCUGUCCAACGUUAAUCGGGGCAGGGUGAGUCGACCCCUAAGGCGAGGCCGAAAGGCGUAGUCGAUGGGAAACAGGUUAAUAUUCCUGUACUUGGUGUUACUGCGAAGGGGGGACGGAGAAGGCUAUGUUGGCCGGGCGACGGUUGUCCCGGUUUAAGCGUGUAGGCUGGUUUUCCAGGCAAAUCCGGAAAACCAAGGCUGAGGCGUGAUGACGAGGCACUACGGUGCUGAAGCGACAAAUGCCCUGCUUCCAGGAAAAGCCUCUAAGCAUCAGGUAACAUCAAAUCGUACCCCAAACCGACACAGGUGGUCAGGUAGAGAAUACCAAGGCGCUUGAGAGAACUCGGGUGAAGGAACUAGGCAAAAUGGUGCCGUAACUUCGGGAGAAGGCACGCUGAUAUGUAGGUGAAGCGACUUGCUCGUGGAGCUGAAAUCAGUCGAAGAUACCAGCUGGCUGCAACUGUUUAUUAAAAACACAGCACUGUGCAAACACGAAAGUGGACGUAUACGGUGUGACGCCUGCCCGGUGCCGGAAGGUUAAUUGAUGGGGUUAGCGGCAACGCGAAGCUCUUGAUCGAAGCCCCGGUAAACGGCGGCCGUAACUAUAACGGUCCUAAGGUAGCGAAAUUCCUUGUCGGGUAAGUUCCGACCUGCACGAAUGGCGUAAUGAUGGCCAGGCUGUCUCCACCCGAGACUCAGUGAAAUUGAACUCGCUGUGAAGAUGCAGUGUACCCGCGGCAAGACGGAAAGACCCCGUGAACCUUUACUAUAGCUUGACACUGAACAUUGAGCCUUGAUGUGUAGGAUAGGUGGGAGGCUUUGAAGUGUGGACGCCAGUCUGCAUGGAGCCGACCUUGAAAUACCACCCUUUAAUGUUUGAUGUUCUAACGUUGGCCCGUAAUCCGGGUUGCGGACAGUGUCUGGUGGGUAGUUUGACUGGGGCGGUCUCCUCCUAAAGAGUAACGGAGGAGCACGAAGGUUGGCUAAUCCUGGUCGGACAUCAGGAGGUUAGUGCAAUGGCAUAAGCCAGCUUGACUGCGAGCGUGACGGCGCGAGCAGGUGCGAAAGCAGGUCAUAGUGAUCCGGUGGUUCUGAAUGGAAGGGCCAUCGCUCAACGGAUAAAAGGUACUCCGGGGAUAACAGGCUGAUACCGCCCAAGAGUUCAUAUCGACGGCGGUGUUUGGCACCUCGAUGUCGGCUCAUCACAUCCUGGGGCUGAAGUAGGUCCCAAGGGUAUGGCUGUUCGCCAUUUAAAGUGGUACGCGAGCUGGGUUUAGAACGUCGUGAGACAGUUCGGUCCCUAUCUGCCGUGGGCGCUGGAGAACUGAGGGGGGGCUGCUCCUAGUACGAGAGGACCGGAGUGGACGCAUCACUGGUGUUCGGGUUGUCAUGCCAAUGGCACUGCCCGGUAGCUAAAUGCGGAAGAGAUAAGUGCUGAAAGCAUCUAAGCACGAAACUUGCCCCGAGAUGAGUUCUCCCUGACUCCUUGAGAGUCCUGAAGGAACGUUGAAGACGACGACGUUGAUAGGCCGGGUGUGUAAGCGCAGCGAUGCGUUGAGCUAACCGGUACUAAUGAACCGUGAGGCUUAACCUU
rnacentral:rRNA from 1 species